AUAGCAUAUCAAUWAGCGKAGGAAAAGAAACCAACAGGGAUUGCUCUAGUAACGGCGAGUGAAGCAGCAAUAGCUCAAAUUUGAAAUCUGGCGUCUUCGACGUCCGAGUUGUAAUUUGUAGAGGAUGCUUCUGAGUAACCACCGACCUAAGUUCCUUGGAACAGGACGUCAUAGAGGGUGAGAAUCCCGUAUGCGGUCGGAAAGGUGCUCUACACGUAGCUCCUUCGACGAGUCGAGUUGUUUGGGAAUGCAGCUCUAAAUGGGAGGUAAAUUUCUUCUAAAGCUAAAUAUUGGCCAGAGACCGAUAGCGCACAAGUAGAGUGAUCGAAAGAUGAAAAGCACUUUGGAAAGAGAGUUAAAAAGCACGUGAAAUUGUUAAAAGGGAAGGGAUUGCAACCAGACUUGCUCGCGGUGUUCCGCCGGUCUUCUGACCGGUCUACUCGCCGCGUUGCAGGCCAGCAUCGUCUGGUGCCGCUGGAUAAGACUUGAGGAAUGUAGCUCCCUCGGGAGUGUUAUAGCCUCUUGUGAUGCAGCGAGCGCCGGGCGAGGUCCGCGCUUCGGCUAGGAUGCUGGCGUAAUGGUCGUAAUCCGCCCGUCUUGAAACACGGACCAAGGAGUCUAACAUCUAUGCGAGUGUUCGGGUGUCAAACCCCUACGCGUAAUGAAAGUGAACGGAGGUGAGAACCGCAAGGUGCAUCAUCGACCGAUCCUGAUGUCUUCGGAUGGAUUUGAGUAAGAGCAUAGCUGUUGGGACCCGAAAGAUGGUGAACUAUGCCUGAAUAGGGUGAAGCCAGAGGAAACUCUGGUGGAGGCUCGCAGCGGUUCUGACGUGCAAAUCGAUCGUCAAAUUUGGGUAUAGGGGCGAAAGACUAAUCCGAWCCMYCUAGUAGCUGGUUCCUGCCGAGUCU
rnacentral:rRNA from 1 species